GGCCCAUUAGCUCAGUUGGUUAGAGCGUCGUGCUAAUAACGUAAAGGUCGCAGAUUCGAGACCUGCAUGGGCCA
rfam:Solanum lycopersicum cultivar Heinz 1706 chromosome 5, whole genome shotgun sequence.